GUGAUUUCUCCUUCCCCCACGUGUGAUUGUCCUUGAUAUUCUUCUUCAAAAUGACCAUGGAUAAGAUCAUGCUAAGGUCUGCUUCCAUUGGAGUCUCCCACUCAAAUCGAGCACGCCUCCACUUCAAACUCCACCGCCACUCCGAGUUUAUCCAUUCACCAACCUCACCCACUGCUUGACCCUGAUUUAAGGACAGGGAAUAAAGUCGUGGGAACAUGGAUUUCAAAUCGGCACUUCCAACCCAUACCUCCUCCCAGAAUUUAAUUUUAUGUCCACAUCCUAUUUCCCAUCCUAGCUCUUCUUGAAACCAGCCUUUACCUCCUCCCUCCUUGCAUAUCUUUAACAGGUCUCUCCACCACCAAGACUGAACUUUGGUAGGUGUUUGGUUACCUUCUAGCUCCAAGUUGUACUUUG
rnacentral:lncRNA from 1 species